rnacentral:misc_RNA from 1 species
AAUAGCCAAACCAUAGACCCUCUUAUUAUACCAAGGGAAACAUGAUAGACAUUUAGGGAAAUUUUAGUACAAUCACAUGUUCAGUGCAUCCAAUUAUAUAAAAAAACAAUAGCACCUUAUAAUCACAUUUGGAAAAUCUAAGAAAACAAAGCACUCAAUGAUGGUCAAGUUAGUGUCAACAAUCAUAUCCUAACCUAUCAGCAUACAUGGGAUUGAGUUAAUUGGCUAACCACAUAAUACUGAAUACCAUAUACCUAGUGACAGAACCAGCAACCCCUGCCACCUUGAAGUGAAUGCCCUUAGCAUUUGUUUAACCUACAAACAGGAAUCUUCAAUAAUGAUAUACUAACAAGACUAUCACUAUUACUAUAUCCGUGGCAUGACAGAAGAUAGAGAGCAACCUCAAGAGCAAUUAGUUUAUCUGGUCUGGAAAUGCUUGUAAGUGGCAU